GAUGAACGCUGGCGGCGUGCCUAAUACAUGCAAGUCGAGCGAACAGAUGAGGAGCUUGCUCCUCUGACGUUAGCGGCGGACGGGUGAGUAACACGUGGAUAACCUACCUAUAAGACUGGGAUAACUUCGGGAAACCGGAGCUAAUACCGGAUAAUAUAUUGAACCGCAUGGUUCAAUAGUGAAAGACGGUUUUGCUGUCACUUAUAGAUGGAUCCGCGCCGCAUUAGCUAGUUGGUAAGGUAACGGCUUACCAAGGCAACGAUGCGUAGCCGACCUGAGAGGGUGAUCGGCCACACUGGAACUGCGACACGGUCCAGACUCCUACGGGAGGCAGCAGUAGGGAAUCUUCCGCAAUGGGCGAAAGCCUGACGGAGCAACGCCGCGUGAGUGAUGAAGCUCUUCGGAUCGUAAAACUCUGUUAUUAGGGAAGAACAAAUGUGUAAGUAACUAUGCACGUCUUGACGGUACCUAAUCAGAAAGCCACGGCUAACUACGUG
rnacentral:rRNA from 1 species